rnacentral:rRNA from 1 species
GUCGUAUGCUCGUCUCCGAGACUAAGCCAUGCAAGUCCAAGUACACGUCCUUGAACGACGGAAACUGCGAACGGCUCAUUAAAUCAGUUGCGAUCUACUCGGCGUUCCGCGCCGCCGGAUAACCGUAGUAAUUCUAGGGCUAAUACGUGCGAAGCGCCCGAAGCCGCGAGGCGACGGGCGUUCUCGCCGGAUGUAGGAACCGACCCCGGGGACCGCCGGGGCAACCCGGCGCCCCCGAGACGGGGCGAACCACGGUGAAAUGACGGAUCGUCGGCCCCGCGCCGGCGACUCGCCGAAUGAGUUUCUGACCUAUCAACUCGAGACGGCGGGGUAGAGGCCCGCCGCGGUAACGACGGGUAACGGGGAAUCAGGGUUCGAUUCCGGAGAGGGAGCCCGAGAAACGGCUACCACUUCCAAGGAAGGCAGCAGGCGCGCAACUUACCCUAAUCUCGAUUCGAGGAGGUAGUGACAAGAAUACCGAUGCGGG